rnacentral:rRNA from 1 species
AGGAUGAACGCUGGCGGCGUGCUUAACACAUGCAAGUCGAACGCUGAAGCUCCAGCUUGCUGGAGUGGAUGAGUGGCGAACGGGUGAGUAACACGUGAGUAACCUUCCCUUGACUCUGGGAUAAGCCCGGGAAACUGGGUCUAAUACCGGAUACGACUCUCCACCGCAUGGUGUGGGGGUGGAAAGAUUUAUCGGUCUUGGAUGGACUCGCGGCCUAUCAGCUUGUUGGUGAGGUAAUGGCUCACCAAGGCGACGACGGGUAGCCGGCCUGAGAGGGUGACCGGCCACACUGGGACUGAGACACGGCCCAGACUCCUACGGGAGGCAGCAGUGGGGAAUAUUGCACAAUGGGCGCAAGCCUGAUGCAGCGACGCCGCGUGAGGGAUGACGGCCUUCGGGUUGUAAACCUCUUUCAGUAGGGAAGAAGCGAAAGUGACGGUACCUGCAGAAGAAGCGCCGGCUAACUACGUGCCAGC